CGUUCUGUGGCGUAGUUGGUAACGCGCCCAGUCUAGCGUAUGGGAGUCGUGGGAUCGAAGCCCACCAGAACGA
rnacentral:tRNA from 1 species